UACGGAGGGGGCUAGCGUUGUUCGGAAUUACUGGGCGUAAAGCGCACGUAGGCGGAUUCCUAAGUCGGGGGUGAAAUCCUGGAGCUUAACUCCAGAACUGCCUUCGAUACUGGGAAUCUUGAGUCCGGGAGAGGUGAGUGGAACUGCGAGUGUAGAGGUGAAAUUCGUAGAUAUUCGCAAGAACACCAGUGGCGAAGGCGGCUCACUGGCCCGGUACUGACGCUGAGGUGCGAAAGCGUGGGGAGCAAACAGG
rnacentral:rRNA from 1 species